GUCAAGGUGGCCGAGAGGUCAAGGCGUUGGACUCGAAAUCCCGCACAGGUUCGAACCCUGUUCGUGACG
rnacentral:tRNA from 1 species